rnacentral:rRNA from 1 species
UACGGGGGGGGGCAAGCGUUGUUCGGAAUUACUGGGCGUAAAGGGCUCGUAGGUGGCCAACUAAGUCAGACGUGAAAUCCCUCAGCUUAACUGGGGAACUGCGUCUGAUACUGGAUGGCUUGAGUUUGGGAGAGGGAUGCGGAAUUCCAGGUGUAGCGGUGAAAUGCGUAGAUAUCAGGAGGAACACCGGUGGCGAAGGCGGUUCUCUGGGCAUGUCCUGACGCUGAGGAGCGAAAGUGUGGGGAGCGAACAGG